rnacentral:rRNA from 1 species
UGGGGAAUAUUGGACAAUGGGCGCAAGCCUGAUCCAGCAAUGCCGCGUGUGUGAAGAAGGUCUUCGGAUUGUAAAGCACUUUCGGCGGGGACGAUGAUGACGGUACCCGCAGAAGAAGCCCCGGCUAACUUCGUGCCAGCAGCCGCGGUAAUACGAAGGGGGCUAGCGUUGCUCGGAAUGACUGGGCGUAAAGGGCGCGUAGGCGGCUUGCACAGUCAGAUGUGAAAUUCCUGGGCUUAACCUGGGGGCUGCAUUUGAUACGUGUGGGCUAGAGUGUGAAAGAGGGUCGUGGAAUUCCCAGUGUAGAGGUGAAAUUCGUAGAUAUUGGGAAGAACACCGGUGGCGAAGGCGGCGACCUGGUCCUUUACUGACGCUGAGGCGCGAAAGCGUGGGGAGCAAAC